GCUGGGCAUGGUGGCGCACACCUGUAAUCCCAGCAGCUCAAGAGGCUGAGGCAGGAGAAUCAUGAGUUCAAAGCCAGCCUCAGCAAUGGUGAGGCACUAAGCAACUCAGUGAGACCCUGUCUCUA
rnacentral:sRNA from 1 species